AGCAAGCCCACCACAGAAGCAGCCAUUUCCUCCCACGUGCUGGUCCAGAGAAGGACCGGUUGCUUUGUAUGUUUUCCCCAGCCCCCAUUAAUGAAGACUAACGAGGAUUCUGGCUUUUUCAAGCCGGAAAAGGGCGAGACCUUGUCUGGAACUACUUUAUGCUGUGAGUCGCGGAGGGAUAUUGCACCAGUUGAGGAGACCGUCUGCGUCCCGCUUUUUCCCCCUCCCCCUCCUCCCGCCACCCCGAGUCUUGUAAACGGGGUUUCCGAGUUCGCCCCUGCCCCGGAGGAGAAGGCGGCUGGGUUGAAAUCGUAGUGGGGAGGAGCAAUGAAGGAAGGGCGAGAGGGGGGAAUUAGUGGCUGCUGCUGCUUCAGGACGGGGGAGAGAAUGGGGGAGGGGAGGUUAGUUGUAGGGUAAAGAAGGGGGUGGGGGAGGGGAAACCAGAGGGCGUUGGGCGAUAAAUGAGGAAUACGAGGAAAAGGGCGCCGGUGAAAUGGGUGUGAGGAAAAAGCGUGAAAGGGGAGACUGUAAAAUGGGUGCAAGACGGACGGGCUGAGGGCAUCCAUGAGGGGAAGUAAGAAAUGGAGUGACCCGGAGAGGGGCAGAAUUGGAGUCGAGAAGGGGGAAGAGAGGAGAAAUAAGGCACCUGAAACAAGAUAUAUAUAUAUAUCAAGAUCAGGCUUGUUUCAGAUAUAUAUAUGUCUUCCUCCAUGGAGCUGAAGGUGUGCUACAAGGAGGUCUCCCGUCCAGGCAGAGACCGGACUCAAGAUCUGGCUUGCUUCAGCAAAAGUGGCUGCUUCAUGUACCUUAUUUCUCCUCUCUUCCCCCUUCUUCACUCCAGUUCUGCCCCUCUCCCGGCCACUCCAUCUCUUACUUACUUGUCUAUCUAUAACCCGAUUUCCUUUUUUGUUCCUCUUUCUUAUACUUCCCGGGCACCCAGAAUCCAUUGAACACCACCUGGCCCAGUUUCCACCAGUCGUCUUCGCGUUUGUAUACCACCCUUAUCUUCACAGAAGCUCAAGGUGGUGUGCAUGGUUCUCUCCAUUUCACCCCCCACAACACCCCUGUGGGGUGGGUUAGGAUAAGAGAUUGUGUCUGGUCCAAGGUCACCCAGUGAGUUCCAGACCCUGUCUGCAGACUGUCUCGCCAGAGUGGUGCAUGCUCUAGUUAUCUUCCGCUUGGACUACUGCAAUGCGCUCUACGUGGGGCUACCUUUGAAGAUGACCCGGAAACUACAAUUAAUCCAGAAUGCGGCAGCUAGACUGGUGACUGGGAGUGGCCGCCGGGACCACAUAACACCGGUCCUGAGAGAUUUGCAUUGGCUCCCAGUACAUUUCCGAGCACAAUUCAAAGUGUUGGUGCUGACCUUUAAAGCCCUAAACGGCCUCAGUCCUGUAUCCCUGAAGGAGCGUCUCCACCCCCAUCGUUCAGCCCGGACACUGAGGUCCAGCACCUAUGGCCUUCUGGCGGUUCCCUCACUGCGAGAGGUGAGGUUACAGGGAACCAGACAGAGGGCCUUCUCGGUAGUGGCGCCCGCCCUGUGGAAUGCCCUCCCUUCAGAUGUGAAGGAGAUAAGUAGCUAUCUUAUCUUUAAAAGACAUCUGAAGGCAGCCCUGUUUAGGGAAGUUUUUAAUAUUUAAUGCUGUAUUGUUUUUAACACUUGAUUGGAAGCCUCCCAGAGUGGCUUGGGAAACUCAGC